GCCCCGGUGGUGGAAUGGCAUACACGGCAGGUUGAGGACCUGUGCCCUUAGGGCGUGCUGGUUCGACUCCAGUCCGGGGCACCA
rnacentral:tRNA from 1 species